GGCCGCCUGGCGUAAUGGCAACGCGUCUGACUACGACUAAUAUGCAUCAGGAGAUUGCAGGUUCGACCCCUGCGGUGGUCA